rnacentral:snoRNA from 15 species
AAUAUUCUUAGUUUGAUGAUAUUUGUGAGUAGGAAUCUCAAUGAGCUGUAAUCAUUCGUUGCAGUGAAAUUAAAUUUCUACUAGUAACCGUAAUGCA